UCACUCACUAGAAGCAGCCCACAUUACAUUAUACAUUUCCCACAAAACCUACAUCUCAAACAAAUCAUUACUUCUCCCUCUCUCUCUCUUUUUAUUUCUCCAGCAAUCUUUCCUCCUUUUUCAACUCCAUAAACUCAAGUUCCAAACACAUAGCUUCUCUUUCUCUUUCUUCUCUCAUUCUCGCUCAUUAAUAUAGAUUGAAAGAUUUUGCGGACAAAAGACACACAGGACGAUUCAAAGCUUUAAAAGAGAAGAAGCGUUUGGGUUUAGUUUCUUGGAAUGGGAAAAGGCUUCAGACUAGUAACCAGUCUUCUUCUUCUUUCCUUCCUCUCAUCAGGUAUUAAAGCUAGUAGUGAACCAAUAGCAGAAGAAAAAGACAUAACCACACCAUUAGCCACAAACCCAACAAUCACGCCGCCAACAACCGUGGUCCCUAACUCCGACUCUGACGCUGCCGUGGCCACAACUCCCCUAACGAUUCCAUCGCCACCACACGCUGCCGCCCACCCAGGUGGGAGCUGGUGUGUUGCGAGAGAGAACGUUGCAAAAAUGGCGUUACAAGCAGCUUUGGACUACGCGUGUGGGAUCGGUGGAGCAGAGUGCUCGGAGAUACAAGAAGGAGGAAAGUGUUAUAACCCUAACUCGUUAAGAGCACAUGCUUCUUUUGCCUUUAACAGUUAUUACCAGAAGAAUCCAAUCCCUAGUAGUUGCAAUUUUGAUGGAACUGCUGUCACUAUCAGUGCUGACCCAAUUAUGUUAAAUACAAACUCCAAUCUGUCUUUAACUUCGGAUCUUCAUUGCCACUGGUGUUCCAACUUGGAUCACUUUGAACUAUUUUAUAUCAUCGAUCGGUAGUAGUAGUAUACACUAAUUAAUUAAAAUAUUGAUGCUGGGUUAUGAAAAAUGUUUAUAUAUGUUUAUUUGUUGGAAUUUAGUGAUUUUAUCGAAUCUAAUCUAUCUAGUUUUAAAACAAAUAAUUGGUCAAUCGUCAAAACAUAAAGAUGUGUAUCACUUAAUAUGGUGGAUAGAUAAGAAGAUGUCCAAUAUUAAGUGUGAGUUUAUCUUACUUACAAAACAAAUAAAUUAAUUAAAUUCUAAUGACAAAAGUUGAAUUCACUACAUAAUUCAUAUGAGUAUGACGACACUAGAUCUGAUGAAAUUUUUUUAAAUUAUGAAAAAUAAUACUUUAAAGCGUAUGCUUCUAAAUUUCUAUGUGAAAUAUAUAUUACAAGGUUUAGAUUAUGUGUCCUAUCCUAUGUCAAUCUAUUUCGUCACAUACAUGUCGAGAGAAUAAAGACAUCUACGUAAAAUGUUUCUCUCUGUUGACAGGUGUAGGAUCAUGCCACUUUCCGUCUACAAGCACGAGUGAAUCAAUUUUGAACGUAUCAAGUGAAGAUGGAUUAGGGCGUUUUGGGAGAAUACCGUCACAUCCAACUCCCAAGCCCG